UCAUGUGUAAAUGUAAGUCAUUUUUUGUUCAAAAACUCUGACUGCAUUUUUUUCAAUGCAGGUCUCCUUUAAACUGAUUGGUAUUUGGACAUUGCUUGAGACAUCUAUAAACAUAAAUAUCUAUAAGAAAGAUUUCAUCAAUUAGACAGUUGUAAAAAGAUCAGAUAGUUUUACCAAAUACAAGGACAUUUUGGAUGUGUGUCAUCCAUUUUGUGUUAUGCAUCAUGGAACACAUUUACAUCUUCUGUUUCCUGAUAUCAUCUGAUCCCAAAGAGAGCAGGUGUUCUGUUUUAGUCCCAGAAAUUACAAGACAAUCUGAUCUGGUCUUUCGGUGAACUCAUGGACGCCGCCAUCUUACGAAGGGAUCUCUCACCAAUACUGCCUGCUGAUUGGUUGAAAUCUAUGUGGGCGCCAUCCCUUCCUGCACAGACUGGAAAAAAAGAAGCAUCAAAUUUCAAACUUAAAACUUUUUUUUUUUAAAUAAAUCUAGUGUUUAAUAAUCUUUGAAAGAUUUAGUUUUAAUUCUGGAGGAUUUGCUACGUGGCUCUACAAUAUAAGGGCACAUGCAAUGCCUUAAUCUGAUUGGCUGAGCACACCUGACUUAAUGAGCAGUGGGCAGAGCCUCCAGAGUCAGGUGACCUCCAGGAGCAGGGUUAGUGAGUCCUGAUUUAAACAAUUAAAUCCACUUGAACAGAUUUUCACCAGAAUCUUCAAACUUGAAAAAGCUAAAAGUUGUUGUUUCCUGCUGAUCAGCACAGUUAGAGGUGAUCAAUAAUCAAUGAUCCAUUUGGAGUGAUGAGUGUGUUAGAAGAGAAGAACUAAAGUGUGUGGAUGAGAUCAAUGUCAUGUUGAUGUUUCCAUGAUUAAAGCCCAUGUGUUGCUCCGCCCCCUCCUCCUUUCAGGGUGGAUCCUGGUGGAGUCCGAUGGCUGAGACCAGGUCUGAGGAAGUAUUUCUGUGAACUCUCUCUGGAUCCAAACUCAGCGAACAGAGAACUCAAACUGUCCAACAACAACACAAAGGUGGAACGUGUGGACGAGGAUCAAUCAUAUCCUGAUCAUCCAGACAGAUUUGACCUUUGCCCUCAGGUCCUGAGUCCAACUGGUCUAACUGGUCGCUGUUACUGGGAGGUUGAGUGGAGACGACACGUUUUUAUAUCAGUGACUUACAGAAGAAUCAGAAGGAAAGGAGACAGUUUGGAUUGUCGGUUUGGGCGUAAUGAUCAGUCCUGGUGUCUGAGAUGCACUGAGGGUUGUUGUUAUUCUGUCUACCACAAUAACAGACAAACACACCUUCCUCUCUCCCCUUCGUCCUCUCACAGAGUCUCAGUGUUUGUGGACUGUCCUGCUGGCACUCUGUCCUUCUAUGACGUCUCCUCUGACUCUCUGAUCCACAUCCACACCUUCUGCUGCACGUUCACUGAACCUCUGUAUGCUGGGUUCAGGUUCAGGUCUGGUUCUGGUUCCUCGGUGUCUCUGUGUGGACUGUAGGACAGAUAGUCUCCUCCUGUGGACACAAACACUCGAUCACACAUGUUUGGACAGUAAAUGUCCAGCUGGUUUGAUUUUGACGUCUCACUGGUUGUAAAUUCAG